GUCAAAUCCAUGCAGUUCCAAGGAACAACGGGAUUCCAAAGAACAGUCUGGUUCCCAAGGGAACGGGACCAAAGGUUGAUCAACACACUUCCAAGGGACAGUCUUUUCCCAAGGGAGUCAGGCUGAAGCCUGCACACGUAUAGUUCUGAUGAUAGUCCAGAAGUCAGACCAAAAGCUAAGCAAUUUCAGUUGAAACAGUCUGGUUCCAAAAGGAAUUGGACCAAAGGCUAGCAUAGUUCAAAGGAAUAGCCUGAUUCAAAGGGUUAGGCUGAAGUGCCACCCAAGUGCUUACAGACAAACAAGCCCUUAACCAGAAAAGGACGAAGACUUGAAAUAGAUCUUGACUACAGCCUGGAGAGCCUCCAAUAGGGUGGAAGCUUGGAUCCAGAAAAGACUUACCUUCAAACUCCAGGGCUGACAAGAAAAGCAGCGAGCUCAAUGAGCUCUCUUGUGGGUACCACAGCAGUUUGCUCACCAGCCUUGGAGGCCUUGGGGGUCUUCCCUGGAUUCCCACAUGGACCACCAAAAUAUUGACUUUAAACAAAUAGACAACCAGUUAUUUCUCCAGAAAAAGUGGGUUUAUUCAGGAUCAGUAAAGAAUUGCAACUGAGCGUCUGCAACCGUGAGAAAGCAGCUGCAAUGGAAAGAACACGGAUGACAAAGGCAAUGUGGACACAGAGCACUCUUACAGACAGCAAGCUCUUCACGCCAAAGAGCACUCCUGGGAUUUCCAAAAAUCCCAUCAUGCUGCACUAAAUUGACUCUGACAGAGCCCGUUUAAAGAUAUUACACAUGAGGAAACCAAUGUGGCAAAAAGAGAAUGCAGACAGUCAUAUCGAGAUUACUGUCUUCACAAAAGCAGCAGGAGGAUGCAUGGGCUGAC
rnacentral:lncRNA from 1 species